rnacentral:rRNA from 1 species
CCUACGGGUGGCAGCAGUGGGGGAUAUUGCACAAUGGGCGAAACCCUGAUGCAGCGACGCCGCGUGUGGGAAGACGGUCCUCUGGAUUGUAAACCACUGUUCCCAGGGACGAAGAUGACGGUACCUGGGGAGGAAGCUCCGGCUAACGACGUGCCAGCAGCCGCGGUAAUACGUAGGGAGCGAGCGUUGUCCGGAAUUACUGGGUGUAAAGGGAGCGUAGGCGGGACUGCAAGUUGGGUGUCAAAUCUACCGGCUCAACCGGUAGCCGCACUCAAAACUGCAGUUCUUGAGUGAAGGAGAGGCAGGCGGAAUGCGUGGUGUAGCGGUGAAAUGCGUAGAUAUUAGGCGGAACACCAGUGGCGAAGGCGGCCUGCUGGGCUUUUACUGACGCUGAGGCUCGAAAGUGUGGGGAGCGAACAGGAUUAGAUACCCUUGUAGUC